rnacentral:rRNA from 1 species
ACUCCUACGGGAGGCAGCAGCUGACGAAUAUUCCGCAAUGCGCGAAAGCGUGACGGAGCAAUGCCGCGUGCAGGAUGAANCGGCUUCGCCGUGUAAACUGCUGUCAGGGUGUAGGAAUACUCACCAUACCCAAAGGAAGGACCGGCUAACUCC